GCUUUAUUCUCUUCUCUGGAACAUUUUAACGCAAAAAAAAAAAAUAUAUAUAUAUAUAUAUAUAUAUAUAUAUAUAUAUAUAUGGCUUGUAUGCUUGUAUUUACUUGCACAAAUGCAGAUCUAGUUCUGACGGUGUGUUAUGUCUUUUUCUAGGCUCUGUAGGUUUGGUUUAUUUUAAAUGUACAUAAUAAGCUAGGGAAUGACUGAAGGACCUAGCAGAGAAGUCAAAUGGCCCCACACAGAUGUUACAACUCUACACUUUGCGAUCCAUUAUCAAGGGAGAAACUGCACUCACUGCAGGAAAAAAAAAAUCAAUACCUACUUCAGAACUAACUGCACUUGCAGGUACAUUUCAAGAAAAAGUGGCAAUAAGUGAGGGGGGAAACAGGGUCUGGAAAUGCCGCAAGUUGGAUUCAAGCCCAUGUAACCCACAUAAGCACCACAGCUGAGUAUGUCGGUGCAUGUACUGUAUGUCACAACAUGUGUCAAAAUACUGUUUGUGCUAACCAAUAGGCCACUCUGACAUCUAGCAAGUCAUUGGUAUUUUACGAAACAGAAAUAGAUUAGAACAGGUAACUGGGAUUUGAAAUAGUUGCAAGUUGAAUUCAAACCAAUGUAGUCCACAUGAGGCUCAGUGUGUCAAAGUAAGUACACUAACUGAUGCGUCGCCGCUCUAACAUUUAGAAAACAUUUUACCCUUUUAUCCUUGUAGACUUUUUUGCUUAUUAAAUUUUCAAGAAAUUAGCUGGAGACACAUGAAUAGGAAUAGUUGCGAGCCAAAUUCGAACCUGUGUAGCCUGCAAGAGCACCACAGCUCAGUGUAUUAAAAUAUGUGUUAGCUCUUUGGCGACUCUGACAUCUAGUAAAUUGUCAGUAUUCCCAGGUACAUUAGAGAAGAGACAAGAAAUGAGAUGGGGAAUGGGAUUAGAAAUUGUUGCAAGCCAGAUUCAAACCAGUGUAGUUUAUAUAAGGUCAAUGUGUGCACUAAUGUCUAGGCCAUUACUCUGACAUCUAGAACAUUUUUAAACCCUUUUCCAUAUAUGUAUUUACAUUAAACUAGCUGGAGAACAUGAUUAGGAUUAGUUGCAAGCUAAAUUCAAACCAUUGUAGCCCGUAUAAGGCUCAAUGACUACUGUGUUGAAGUACAGUAAGUGUGUUGACCACUAGGCCAUGGCUCUGACAUCUAGAAAACAAUUGAACAUUUCAGCCAUUAAGCCCUUAUCCCUAUGCUCAUAAGAUUUCCAGAAAAUGAGCUGGAGAGCACGAUUAAGAAUAGUUUUGAGCAAAAUUCAAACCAGCCCGCGUGAGCAUCAUAGCUCAGUGUUCCAUUGUUGCUACUUUAUAUGUAACAGGCUGACAAAGUUUCAACCCUAACCAGACUCAAAUUAGGGCAUCUGGAAUAAAGCAUAGGUUUAAGAUGAACCUAAAUUUCAUUGUCCAUGUUUUACUCUGGCUUGCGGACAGUCCAUGUGACAUAAUUUUCAUCAUCAGCACAUUCUGCUAAUGUCUGUGCACAGAAUCUAUUGGCACUAGUGCACAUGCGAGUGCACUUAAACACAAAAGGUCCACUAGGUAGCACGUACACAUAUAUGCUCUCAGUCAAUGGGGUGUACUUUGAAUGGCUUGCACCUUCAACUAUGUGUUAGAUGGAGCAGAACAAGGAAAAUUAAGCAUACCUGGGCCUUUAGUGAAUGCUAAAUGCUAGGCCACAGCUUUGCCAUAUAGUAAUCUGUAUUAGUUUAACAGACAUGCCCUAAUUACUUAUUGCAAAAUAUAAAGUUCUUACUUCGAAAACCUAAUGACUGUGGCUGCUACCACGUUUGCUGAUUAGACUGCAAGAUUGGACAUAUCUGUCCCUGCCCUCUAUCAGUCAAAAACGCAUAAACCGAGUCUGCAAGUAUGCAGUUUCAGCAGAACACCAACUAUAAAAACACACUCCCUCCUGCCUCAUCAAGACCUUCCUAGAACAUUCCUCUGCUGUUCCUCCUCUGGGUCACUGAAUGGCCAGUUCAUCCAGCCGGGGGGGAAUAUAAUCCUCCACAACUGAGGCAUUUUCUGAGCUCGCCUGUCUGUGAAAAGCUGUGAGAUUACUGGAACUAUUUUAAAGCUCAUUAACUUUGUGGUCACAUUUCCGUUUUAAUUUGCUUCAAAACAUCAACUGCAACUUGAUAGAUGCUAUGCUGCUUUAUCUCUCAGGCCCACAUAGAUGAGGUGAAGCGGGUGCCACGUGAUACAUGACAUUAUUAAACAAACUCGGAGAUGGUACCCAAACACCACACUCUCGGCGCACAGGGGACAGCAGCUGUCUGUUCAGGAGGGGAUGCAGAGUUGUUUAUAUGCAGGACCUGGACAAGUAAGGUAAGGUGUUGUGGGUGUGUGGGCACAUAAGAAAAUGUAUUGUUCAGCCAUCAAAAAAUAUUUGACAGGUAUCUCAGAAUUUUGUGGUAUCUUUUGCUGAAACCAGUAAUAUUAAGGCACUGAUUUGUGUUGUUUGCGUACUUGUGCUGUAUGUACUUGUGCAGUACUUGCGUACUUGUAUAGAGUACUGUAUGUUUUGGGCCUUAAAGUGAGAGUUUACCCUAAAAAGAAAAGUCUGUCAUUAUUUUUUAUCUCUCGUCAAUUCCAAAAUGUAUAUCUUCCUUUUGCAGAACACAAAAUAAGAUAUUUCAUAAAAUGUUGUGUCUUUUUUGUUCAUAAAACAAAAAGUCAGGAGUGUCCAAUCCUGCCCCGCCUUCCUUUCCCCUCAACCCCAAAUAAACACACCUGAACCUGCUAAUCAAGUUCUUUGGGACCACCAGGCAGGUGUAUUUGAGCAGGAAAGUGGUCCUCCAUGAGCAUGCUUGGACACCCCCAAUGUCAACAGGGUUCUGUGUUUGGACCCCUUUGAAUUUAAUUUUCUAAGCAACAGUUGAAACAUUCUUUAAAAUAUCUUAAUUUGCGGGACCAAAUUGAAAUACCAAAGAGAUUUUUGUGUGAUCUUACAAUUUUUGGGAGCUCACAUUGUUUUUAAACAACAUCACAAAUGUGCAUGAAAAAUUAAAAAGAAACAUGC
ensembl:lncRNA